rnacentral:lncRNA from 1 species
AGGGCUUAAAAUUUGAAUCCUCAGUGAACCAGAGGGGGAAAGAAUGAUGAAAUCCUCAAGAGUUUUAUUAGUGAUCCUGUGGCUUCACUUAAUCUCGGUGAGCAGCCAGCAGAACACCGUGGAGCAGAGUCCUGCGUCUCUGCCUGUCCCAGAGGGAGCCAUCGCCUCUCUCGGCUGCACUUAUUCUGACAGUGCUUCUCAGUACUUCGCAUGGUACAGACAGUACCCUGGGAAAGGACCUGAGUUUCUGCUGAACGUGUAUCUCGACAAAGACAAAGAGGAAGGAAAAUUUAAAGCGCAGUCCAAUAAAACCAACAAGCAUGUCUCCCUGCAUAUCAGAGACUCCGAGCCCAGCGACUCAGCCACCUACCUCUGUGCAGUGAGCACACAGUGCUCCCCAGGCACCUGCCGCCUGUGCCCAAACCUGCUGGGGCCCCGGCAGCGCCUCUUGGAGAGCUUAGGCUGCAGGGCACAGACAUUCUGUCGCCUCUCUAGAUGUGAAUGUGGAUUAAGAGUAACCGUGGAGAAGGUUUGA